GAGAAGGCUUGUGCCAGCCGGGAGAAGGAAGCCGGGGACAGGAUGAAAGCAACAACACCUUUACAGACAGUCGACCGGCCCAAGGACUGGUACAAGACGAUGUUUAAGCAAAUUCACAUGGUGCACAAGCCGGGUCUGUACAACCCACCCUACAGUGCUCAGUCACACCCUGCUGCAAAGACCCAAACCUACAGACCUCUUUCCAAAAGCCACUCUGACAACAGCCCCAAUGCCUUUAAGGAUGUGUCCUCCCCAGUGCCUCCCCCACAUGUUCCACCUCCAGUCCCACCGCUUCGACCAAGAGAUCGGUCUUCAACAGAAAAGCAUGACUGGGAUCCUCCAGACAGAAAAGUGGACACAAGAAAAUUUCGGUCUGAGCCAAGGAGUAUUUUUGAAUAUGAACCUGGCAAGUCAUCAAUUCUUCAGCAUGAAAGACCAGUAAGCACUUGUCAUUAAACAGAAUAUGCCAGCUCGCUGGGCUCCCAGGGCUCCCCAAUAAACCUGAAUUUCAGACCCAUUAGCAAUUUUUGUCACAAAGGUAAUCACUUAGAAAUCAUGUUUAUUUUGUAUCAUGAUUUGUACAUCUCAUCUCAGAAUUGAAAGAUACAUGUUCUAAUAUAUUGUCUUUACUGACCAAAUACAAGUGUGUGUGUGUG
rnacentral:sRNA from 1 species